UACGUAGGUGGCAAGCGUUAUCCGGAAUUACUGGGCGUAAAGCGCACGCAGGCGGCUAGUCAAGUUCGACGUGAAAGCUCCCGGCUUAACUGGGAGAGGUCGUUGAAAACUGGUUAGCUUGAGGCAAUGAGAGGGGUGUAGAAUUCCCGGUGUAGUGGUGGAAUGCGUAGAUAUCUGGAGGAACACCGGUGGCGAAGGCGGCGUUCUGGACUGCAACUGACACUGAGGAACGAAAGCCAGGGGAGCAAACGGG
rnacentral:rRNA from 1 species